rnacentral:rRNA from 1 species
CAUGCCGCGAGCAGGAUGAAGGCCUUCGGGUUGUAAACUGCUUUUGUACGGAACGAAACGGUGAGCUCUAAUACAGUUUGCUAAUGACGGUACCGUAAGAAUAAGCACCGGCUAACUACGUGCCAGCAGCCGCGGUAAUACGUAGGGUGCGAGCGUUAAUCGGAAUUACUGGGCGUAAAGCGUGCGCAGGCGGUGAUGUAAGACAGAUGUGAAAUCCCCGGGCUCAACCUGGGACCUGCAUUUGUGACUGCAUCGCUAGAGUACGGUAGAGGGGGAUGGAAUUCCGCGUGUAGCAGUGAAAUGCGUAGAUAUGCGGAGGAACACCGAUGGCGAAGGCAAUCCCCUGGACCUGUACUGACGCUCAUGCACGAAAGCGUGGGGAGCAAACAGGAUUAGAUACCCUGGUAGUCCACGCCCUAAACGAUGUCAACUGGUUGUUGGGUCUUCACUGACUCAGUAACGAAGCUAACGCGUGAAGUUGACCGCCUGGGGAGUACGGCCGCAAGGUUGAAACUCAAAUGAAUUGACGG